UGGGGAAUAUUGCGCAAUGGGCGAAAGCCUGACGCAGCGACGCCGCGUGAGGGAUGAAGGUUUUCGGAUCGUAAACCUCUGUCAGAAGGGAAGAAACCGCACUGUGCUAAUCAGCAGUGCCUUGACGGUACCUUCAAAGGAAGCACCGGCUAACUCCGUGCCAGCAGCCGCGGUAAUACGGAGGGUGCAAGCGUUAAUCGGAAUUACUGGGCGUAAAGCGCACGUAGGCUGCUUUGUAAGUCAGGGGUGAAAUCCCACGGCUCAACCGUGGAACUGCCUUUGAUACUGCUUAGCUUGAAUCCGGGAGAGGGUGGCGGAAUUCCAGGUGUAGGAGUGAAAUCCGUAGAUAUCUGGAGGAACAUCAGUGGCGAAGGCGGCCACCUGGACCGGUAUUGACGCUGAGGUGCGAAAGCGUGGGGAGCGAACAGG
rnacentral:rRNA from 1 species